AGUGCUGGGAUUACAGGCGUGAGCCACCGCGCCCGGCGGGGAGACAAUUAAUAUAUUAUGAGUGCCUACUCUGCAUGAGACACUGCUAGAUAUUCUAUUUACUGUUGACCCAUUUAAUUUAAUUCUUAUGGAGCCCUGUUAAAUAAGAAUUACUAACCCUGUGUUCUAGAUGGGAUGUUAAGGCUCAGAAAAGGGACGGAGGAGCUGGAAUUCAAACCCAGGACUGUGUGAUCCCUAGCAGUCCCCGAUCUGCCGGGGCUUCAGAGAACCACUCCGAUGGAGACAGGCCAUGCCCCUGCUACAUGGUGACCAUGUGGCUAAUAACAGUAAUUGAAAGCUUGGGUGAUUUUAGCCACAGUCCAUGUACUAGUAGCAGUCGUGUCAAUAAUUUGGGAGGAAUAUACCUCUGCCCCUUAGAAAGGCAUUUACCUCCCCAGAGUCUCAGAAACCUACAGAGCCCUACAGAACUACAGUGCCAAGGGGAUCUGGUAUUUCCAGGGGUGGAUUUACGCAUUGACAGAACUUACCGUCAGCCUUCAAUUCUCAACAAAUGCAGAGAACCAUAGUGUGGACAGAUACUUUCCUAAACCGACAGUCAAAACCCAGGGAUACUGAGGAUAACUAGAAGUGUUGUGGUUUGUUUGUGUUUUGAUACAGAAGGGACCUUGGGCCUUGGCAUCACAAUGCAUAUACACUAUGGUGCAAAUGGCGCCCCCUGGAGCACAGAAUCAGAGUACAGAAUUUCCAUUUAUUUAUUCAUUUAUUUUCUUAUUACUGUUCCACAGUUAUUUUCUGGUUGUAACUUAUUCAGAUAAAUACUGCAAUGAACUUGUAGCACCAAGUGGACAGAUCAGCUGGUGGCGUUGGCCAUGGUAGAUAGUUUAGCUAGUUUAGGUGGUUUAGGGAGGUAAACUAAGGUGGAGAAUGUGCAGCUUUUUUGGCAGACUGGACCAUAAGGGGAUAUACUUGAUGCUUCAGUAAUAGAAGGCAGUCCACUGUGUAACCUGUAUUUACAAAUGGGCAAAGGACAUGGAGAAUGAGAGCAAUCCAAGAGUGCUCCUGGACCUUUCCAGGUUUUGGCAGGACCUGCAAGGAGAGCGGCAAGGUUCCUGGAGGAGGAUGGUGUAAGUUCUCUUGAAGCAGCCACAAUCCGGG